rnacentral:lncRNA from 1 species
GUAAUGUUUUCCUUCCAAUACUGGUUCUCCUCUGUGCUCUUAAGCCCUGCAGUUAUUCAGUAUAAUUGACUGCAUGACAACCUGAGGUAGAAGCAAUGUGAGGUCAGCAAUCUGAGUCACAUAUCAAACUAAGAAGGUAUUAUGGGACAAAUCACAUUUUAAUCAGUUGGAGCUUAGAUAAAUGCGGGAAUACUGAUAGCAUUUAUGGUCUGUGUAACAGCCUGUGGUGUGACAGAGCAAUAGCACUUUGAAAUACAGACAGUGGAUGUUAAUUAACAGUAGAUCAUAAUGGAAUUCCUGUGGUAUUACAUGAUGUCCAUGUGAAAUCUCUAAUAAUUUAUAAUGCUUGAUGUGAUCCCACAGCAUGUGACAAGCAGUGUGAUUAUUUGUAGCUCUGCUUGAUCUGCAGCAUAAAAUUUAUUUUAGAAGCAAUGGACAAUGUUGCUAAUACAGGCGUGUUCCUUUGAAAAUGCAUUUCAGCUCUUCCAGAAUCAAGAUAUGGCUUCAAGUACUUAAAUGAAACUUAAUUCUACAGUGAAUAAAUAUCAUCUCUCACAGGAAAUACACAAAUACUUUCUUUUUCCAGGAAAAGGCUGGAGUGCAGCGGCACGAUCUUCAGUCUUGGCUCACUGCAAUCUCUCCCUCCUGGGUUCAAGCUAUUCUCCUGCCUCAGCCACCUGAGUAGCUGGGACUACAGGUGCCCACCACCACAGCCAGGUAAUUUUUGUGCCUUUAGUAGAGACAGAGUUUCACCAUGUUGGCCAUGCUGGUCUCAAACUCCUGACCUCAGGUGAUCUGCCCACCUCGGCCUCCCAAAGUACUAGAAUUACAGGCAUGAGCCACUGUGCUGGGCAAACUUAUAUUUGUGUUAUAUGAUUUCCUUCCUCAGAAAAGAAUUCCUUAGGCCUCUCAAAAAGUAUCCAAUAAUCAAAAAGUAUCAAAUAACUGAAACUCACCUGAUCAUCACAACCAGACAAUGAGAUGUGGAAAGCAUCAUUCAUCAUGAUUGCUUUCUUGCCUCUCUCUGGUUCCUGAUUCCUUACACAUUGUUGCAGUUGUUCUCUGCUAUAUAAACCCCCAGUUUUAGUGGGCUAGGGAGAUGGAUUUGAGACUGAUCUCCCAUCUCCUUUGCUGCAGCACUUGAUUAAAGCCUUCUUUCUUGACAAUACUUGUUGUCUCAGCCAUUGGCUUUCUGUGCAGUAACCAUUAGGACCUAGACUGAAUCCCUGGUGCCUUGGUAACAUGUUGAAAAUCUGUGGAAUCUGUUAUUCUCACAUCUGGUGUCUUAUUUUGUUUGGCUGUUUUUAAGAUUGUUUCUUUAUCAUUGGUUUUCAUUUAUUUGAUUAUCAUAUACAUUAAUGCAUUUGUCUUUGUGUUUUUUCUGCUCGAUUUGUUAAAUGUCAUCAAUCAGUGGGUUAUAUAUUUCAGCAAAUUUAGAACAAAAUUAAUAAUUAUUUCUUAAAAUAUU